UAUUCCGGUUGAUCCUGCCGGAGGCCAUUGCUCUUGGGGUCCGAUUUAGCCAUGCUAGUCGCACGGGUUCAGACCCGUGGCAAAUAGCUCAGUAGCACGUGGCCAAUCUACCCUCCGGAUCAGCACACCCUCGGGAAACUGAGGCCAAUUCUGUAUACGGCUCCCGACCUGGAAUGGUGGGAGCCAGAAACGCUCCGGCGCCGGAGGAUGAGGCUGCGGCCGAUUAGGUUGACGGUGGGGUAAUGGCCCACCGUGCCGAUAAUCGGUCUGGGUCAUGAGAGUGAGAACCCAGAGACGGACUCUGAGACAAGAUUCCGGGCCCUACGGGGCGCAGCAGGCGCGAAACCUUUACACUGCACGCCAGUGCGAUAAGGGGACCCCAAGUGCGCAGGCAUAGUGCCUGUGCUUUUCUGGACUGUAGGGCGGUCCAGGAACAAGGGCUGGGCAAGACCGGUGCCAGCCGCCGCGGUAAUACCGGCAGCCCAAGUGAUGGCCGCUGUUAUUGGGCCUAAAGCGUCCGUAGCU
rnacentral:rRNA from 1 species